rnacentral:rRNA from 1 species
GACGAACGCUGGCGGCGUGCCUAAUACAUGCAAGUAGAACGCAGUUGCGAACGGGUGAGUAACGCGUAGGUACCUGCCUCAUAGCGGGGGAUAACUAUUGGAAACGAUAGCUAAUACCGCAUACUGUGAGAUGGACCUGCGUUGUAUUAGCUAGUUGGUGAGGUAAAGGCUCACCAAGGCGACGAUACAUAGCCGGCCUGAGAGGGUGAGCCGCCAAACCGGGAACUGGAACAGGCCCCGACUCCUACGGGAGGGAGCAGUAGGGAAUAUUGGACAAUGGGCGGAAGCCGGAUGGAGCCAUGGCGCGGGUAUUAAGAAGGUCCUCGGGUUGUAAAGUACUUUUAGGCGGGAGGCGUUACCCGCAGAAGAAGCACCGGCUAACUCCGUGCCAGCAGCCGCGGUAAUAC